ACGAGCGGCGAUAGCACGUUCAAUGCACCAGUUCCCCACGGAUCAAGUUAAGAAACGUUGCGCGUGGUUUGUACCUGGAUGGGUGACCAUCUGGGGAAUCCGCGAGCUGCUGAGU
rnacentral:rRNA from 1 species